UAAAUAAACAGUUAUAAAGCAGGUACGUUUAUUCGGCGCUGCGCACGCACGCCGGCCGCAAGGGGGAGAGCUCCACCUAACUUGCGCACCAACGGUUGCUGCCAGUGUGCUUCUGUUAGUGGGACAAAUCCAUCUUCAUUUCACUUCCGCCGUAAGUCUCUUGCAUAGUCAUCAGGUCUCCGAAGAAUCAGUCAGGUAGGGUCCCGUCUCUCUUCGUAUGGGUACUCGAGUCCUUGGGUGGUCGUCCGGCGCACUCUGGUGGUCGUCUGUCGAAGGGCAGAAGUCUUCCUCGCUGCUAAUCUUCUGGCCUUUCCCGUCUUUGACAGACGUCAUCGGUCAAGCCAGUUCUAGCUCGUUCCAUUAUCUAUGCAUACAGUCUUUUACUCCCUUAUCUUUGGGUCGUUAACCUACAAUUGUGCUAGCUCAGACCUAGGAAUCACCAGCCUUUAUCUUGUUCCCUGUCUCACUACGGAGCUCACUCUAACAUCCCUGGUGGAAGGAGAGCGCUUUCUUACCUGACAGGACUACUGUGCAUGGCUGUCCUGUGUCUCCAUUGAUCAGACUCACAGGAAAGUAAACCAAAUGAGGAUGAAACAGCUUUACCUCUGGACGCAUCAUACAGAUGAAAAAACGCUCACUCUAAAUCUUGCUGGCUUUCCAUCACAUCAGAUCGACCGAGACACUCUGAUUCCUUGUCUUUAUUUGUUUUCUGCGGAAUUCUCCUGUCUCUUUUGGUUCAAGUUCAACUGGUAAAAAGCUUUUCACUGCACAGUGGUUGACCCAGGUAUCCUCAAGGGUCUGUCUGGAACGGUACUAGCUGGUAAGAGUUUUGUUUCAGAUGUAUUUCAGCUAUGCCCAUUGCCUAGCACAGAAGCAGGAGAAAGUGCCUGUUUACUGUUCUAGAUGUCCAACACUCAAUUUUAAUUCUUCUUGAAGCUAGGGGUCCCAGCAAUCCAAACCAGAUGCCCAGCCUCCCAAUCUAAUGCAUGAGCAGAGGGGCUCUCUGAAACACCAGCACAGACUAGGUAAGAAAUACCUUGAAAGCAGCCCUGUGGAGAAGGACAUGGGGGUACUGGUUGAUGAGAAGCUCAACGUGAGCCAGCAAUACGCGCUUGCAACCCAAAAAUCCACCUGUAUCCUGGGCUGCAUCAAAAGCAGGGCAAUGUGAAAAAAAAAAGAAAAAAAAAAGGAAAAAAAAAAAAAGGGAAAAGGAUAAGGCCUUAACACUGUGCAAGCCCUUCUCAGCAAUAACUAAAACAUUGGAGUGAAGCCAGGAUUGCUCUGAUAGCAUUCUUCAUGAUCCAGCACAACUGACUGCUCUCGCAAGAUCAGGUUCAUUUCUUCUGAACCAGUCCGUAUUUUGGAGGCUCCCGUUUCCUUAAAAAUCUCCAAAUUCUAACAAAAUACAUCAUUCAUGCUUCUGUCAAGUACACACGGAUUUCUUCUGUUUUAUCAUGCACAGCGAGCUUAGGGAGACUGAAUCUAUACCUCAGUAAUGGUCUUUAGAGCCACAAGGGAAGAUGGAGCUCAGAGACGCUCAGCUGAGGAAACAGUUUUAUCACACGUGCAGGAAUCAGUUUUGUUGUUUCAGAGUUAGCUUACUGUCUUUGUGAAGACCUCAUUUCUUCAGCUUCUCCUACGUCACACAAAUUACUGAGUGGGAAGGCAAUUAGUACUUAAUGCUGU